UGGGGAAUAUUGGGCAAUGGGCGCAAGCCUGACCCAGCCAUGCCGCGUGAGUGAUGAAGGCCUUCGGGUCGUAAAGCUCUGUGGGGAGGGAAGAAACCAGCUGUGGCUAACAUCCACGGCUAUUGACGGUACCUCCUUAGCAAGCACCGGCUAACUCCGUGCCAGCAGCCGCGGUAAUACGGAGGGUGCAAACGUUGCUCGGAAUCAUUGGGCGUAAAGCGCGCGUAGGCGGCUUGUUAAGUCGGAUGUGAAAGCCCUCGGCUCAACCGAGGAAGUGCAUACGAAACUGGCGAGCUUGAAUAUGGAAGAGGGUCGCGGAAUUCCCGGUGUAGAGGUGAAAUUCGUAGAUAUCGGGAGGAACACCAGUGGCGAAGGCGGCGACCUGGGCCAAUAUUGACGCUGAGGUGCGAAAGCGUGGGGAGCAAACAGGAUUAGAUACCCGCGUAGUCC
rnacentral:rRNA from 1 species